ensembl:lncRNA
GGGCACAGCUGUCUCCUGCACGUGUCGAAGCCAUUCUAAACACCCUAAAGAAUUUCAAGCUAGGCCAGAAAGUCACUGUUCAUCACUUUCAGAAAGUUUUAGGUCUCAUGGCAGCUGCAUCCACAGUGAUACCUUUGGGCCUCCUGCACAUGAGAUCAUUUCAGUUGUGGCUCAGAGCCAGGCGAUUUCAUCCAAGGGCCAAUACCCAGAGGCAAAUAAGGGUUACUUGCCAGGGGCUUCGUACCCUAUCUAUGUGGUUCAGACCCCGGUUUCUGACUUUGGGUCCCACUCUAGGUCCGUGUUGUCGUCGCAAGAUGCUAACGACAGAUGCUUCCCUCACGGGCUGGGGAGCGGUCUUGAAUGGCCCUCCAGCCCAAGGGAUCUGGAGAGGUCAUCUUCUCGAAUGGCACAUCAAUUGCCUCGAAAUGAAGGCUGUAUUUCUGGCCCUGAAAUACUUCCUCCAGCAGUUGAGAGGCUACCAUGUCCUAGUGCGGGUAGACAACACAUCGGUAGUCUCUUACAUAAAUCACCAGGGUGGACUGCGGUCGCGCCGCUUGAACAAAUUAGCUAAGCAGGUUCUGCUUUGGGCACAGGACAAGUUCCUGUCCCUCAGGGCGAUUUUCAUUCCUGGGCAUAUGAAUGUGGGAGCAGACUUGCUGUCCAGACAAGCAGUGACACACGGGGAAUGGAAACUCCACCCCGAAGUAGUGAGUCAAAUCUGGGAAAGAUUUUACGAAGCAGAGGUGGACCUCUUUGCUACACAGGAGAUGGCACAAUGUCCCCUCUACUUCUCUCUGACUCAUCCAGCUCCCCUGGGUCUGGACGCGUUGGCCCAUACGUGGCCCAGACUGCGUCUUUACGCCUUUCCUCCAAUUGCUCUGCUCCCGGGAGUCCUGGCCAAGGUCCGUCAACAGGGGUCUCGCCUCUUACUGAUAGCGCCCCGUUUGGCCGACCAGAAUCUGGUUCUCAGAUCUAAUAUCCCUCCUCAACGGCUCGCCGUGGGCGAUUCCGAUCAGGAGAGAUCUUCUCUCUCAGGCGCAGGGGACAGUAUUUCAUCCCCGGCCCGAGCUCUGGAACCUUCACGUCUGGCCCCUGAGGGGGACCAAGUAAGAGAUGCUGGCCUUUCAGCAAAUGUAAUAGAAACUAUUCUAAGUGCUAGGGCUCCCUCCACUAGAAGAACUUAUGCCCUCAGAUGGCGUGUUUUCGAGGGCUGGUGCAUGACACACCAUGUAGACCCAGCUCACUGCCAAAUUGUUUCAAUACUGGAGUUCCUGCAAGAGAAAUUGUCCUCAGGCACAUGCCCUAGUACUCUCAGAACCUACGUGGCUGCUAUUUCGGCUUGCCAUGUUUUGAUUGACGGGGUUUCUGUGGGAAAGCACCCUCUAGUCGCCCGCUUCAUUCAUGGGACUAAGCGGUUGAGGCCACCAACUAGAGCUACGGUCCCUUCAUGGGAUUUAGCCAUAGUGCUCGAAGGGCUGUCUGGCACCCCUUUCGAACCAUUAGAAUCAGCGCCUGACAGGCUGCUGACUCUAAAGAUGGUUUUUCUUAUGGCCAUUACCUCUCUAAAGAGAAUUGGGGAUUU